GAUGAACGCUAGCGGCAGGCUUAAUACAUGCAAGUCGAGGGGCAGCAUGGUGUAGCAAUACACUGAUGGCGACCGGCAAACGGGUGCGGAACACGUACGCAACUUACCCAAAACUGGGGAAUAGCCCGGGGAAACCCGGAUUAAUACCUCGUAACAUAAUUGAGUGGCAUCACUUGAUUAUUAUAGCUCCGGUGGUUUUGGAUGGGCGUGCGCCUGAUUAGGUAGUUGGCGGGGUAACGGCCCACCAAGCCUACGAUCAGUAACUGGUGUGAGAGCACGACCAGUCACACGGGCACUGAGACACGGGCCCGACUCCUACGGGAGGCAGCAGUAAGGAAUAUUGGUCAAUGGACGCAAGUCUGAACCAGCCAUGCCGCGUGAAGGAUGAAGGUCCUCUGGAUUGUAAACUUCUUUUAUAUGGGAAGAAAUCCAUCUUUUCUUGGGUGGUUGACGGUACCAUAGGAAUAAGCACCGGCUAACUCCGUGCCAGCCGCCGCGGUAAUAC
rnacentral:rRNA from 1 species